AUGGCGGCACUCGUCACUCCAGCUGCUUCGGUGGUGUCCGAGCUGGUGGUGCGGGGCCGGGAGUCCGCCGCCGUCCUCGAGGCCCUGCUCCAGGGGGGCUCGCCGCAGGAGCACGGCGGGAUCCGGGAGCUCGCCGCGGAGAUCCUUCUCUGUUGCGACCGCGCCCUCGCCGCGCUCCACGGUCGCGACGGCGUCCAUGCGGUCGCGCUCGCCAGCAGGAAGCGCAGGUCGUCGGAGCCCGACGGCGCAGCCUCUCAGACGAGGCCGAAAAGAAGGAUGCGCGCGAGCAGCGGAUCGACGGCGACGAGGGUCGAGAAGCGAUCGACGGCGGAGGACGGGCACAUAUGGAGGAAGUACGGGCAGAAGGAGAUCACGCACAGCAAGCACCCGAGGCUCUAUUUCAGGUGCUCCUACAAGCACGACAUCGGCUGCCCGGCGACGAGGCAGGUCCAGCAGUCGGACGACGACCUCUCCCUCUACGUCAUCACCUACUUCGGCGACCACACCUGCUGCCACGGCGACGAAGCCGUCGCCGCCGCAGAGGAAAAGGACGUCAAGAUGCAGCCGUUCGUCAUCAACUUCGGGAUCGGGUCGGCCACAGAGAGCAGCACCAGCGGCUCGCCUUGGCAAAACUCUGAUGACGGUGAUGGCCGGAGCGAGAUCCCACGCUCGUCGCACGCCGUAUGCUUGCCGGAGGGAGGAGAAGCAGAUGAACUGCGACUGAAGGUGACCAAAGUUGAGACAACUUCGUUAGGCUCGCAGCCAGCGAGCCCGGCGGCGGCAGAGCUGAGCUCGUCACCCGACGUUUCCUGUGCUUCCCCAGCAUGGGAUCCUUUAUCCAGCUGCUGGGAGUGGGAUCAAUUCGUCGAGAGCUCAUUCGAUUUCGUUAGUAGAUUCAUCGAUUUCGAUGACUUUGCUUUGUACCAAUAG
rnacentral:rRNA from 1 species